UCUGUUGGCCCACCUCGUCCAGGAA
rnacentral:misc_RNA from 1 species